rnacentral:rRNA from 1 species
AGUAAUUAUUUUUGUAGAUUUAAUAAGUGAAGGGUGGAAUAACAUGUGUACAUAUUGCCCGUCGCUCUCGUUAUUUUUGAGAUAAGUCGUAACAUAGUUGAUGAACUGGAAAGUGUAUCUUUUU